AUUGAACGCUGGCGGCAGGCCUAACACAUGCAAGUCGAGCGGAUGAAGGGAGCUUGCUCCUGGAUUCAGCGGCGGACGGGUGAGUAAUGCCUAGGAAUCUGCCUGGUAGUGGGGGAUAACGUCCGGAAACGGGCGCUAAUACCGCAUACGUCCUGAGGGAGAAAGUGGGGGAUCUUCGGACAUCACGCUAUCAGAUGAGCCUAGGUCGGAUUAGCUAGUUGGUGGGGUAAAGGCCUACCAAGGGGACGAUCCGUAACUGGCCGGAGUGGAUGAUCGGUGACACUGGAACUUAGACACGGUCCAGACUCCUACGGGAGGCAGCAGUGGGGAAUAUUGGACAAUGGGCGAAAGCCUGAUCCAGCCAUGCCGCGUGUGUGAAGAAGGUCUUCGGAUUGUAAAGCACUUUAAGUUGGGAGGAAGGGCAGUAAGUUAAUACCUUGCUGUUUUGACGUUACCAACAGAAUAAGCACCGGCUAACUUCGUG
rnacentral:rRNA from 1 species